CGAUGUUCUUCAAAAGAGUAGUUUCAGACAUUCCAACUUCUGGCCAUAAUGAAGUAGCUGGAACUGGAAUUCACCUUGAAGAACUAGAAAAACAGACAAAAUAUGUGAAACAGCUGUUUCCAGACUUUGGACAAUAGCAAGAAGGCCCUGGCAAGAUGCACUUUUCAGUCUUGGACUUCCCAGCCUCCAGAAGUGUGAGCCAAUAAAUCUCUGAGGGUUCUGUUCUAUGUCAUUUCCUUUGAAGUCAGUGGGAGCUCUGUGCAGGACGGCAACAUGAACACCGACCUCUAUACAUGAAGGCCAUCAAGUGGUUAACAUAUAGACAGUAUUUAAAUCCUUGGGACUGGACGAGAUUACCAAGGGAGGAAAUGUAGAUGAAGGAGAAGAGAAAGGAUGGAGUUCUGGAGCACUACAAAUUUAAGAGACUGGGGAGAAGAGGAGAAACCCAGAAAAUCUACCUUGGAGAUCACUGCGUAAUACUACACUGGGAGCAGUAUCAUUCUUUGAAAUAAUAAUUAUAAUGUAAUAUAACAGUUAUAAACUAUUCCAGUGUGUGAACAUGCCCUUUAUUCAAGCAGUUCUCUACCAGUCUUAACUGGUCUUCCUGCUCUCAGUUUAUCCUUACUCCAAUCCUUUGUAAAUACUGCUUAUGCUAACCUUGGAUUAAUCUUAGUUAUUUAUGCCUGGAUGAAAAAUGGAAAAAUUGGACACAUAUUGCAUUUAUAUAAUGAAAUACAAUGCAGUUUAUUAAAAAUCAUGUUGAAAAACCCACAACAUAAUGUUGAAUAAAAAAAAGCAUAAUCCCAGUCUACACACACACACACACACACACACGUGCACACACACAAAUAUAUGACCAGAAAUAAAAUGCUGUACAUUUAGCCAUCAAAGUUUAACAUAUUUAUGGAUGAUGGAUUUCCAAGUAAUUUUUAUUUUCAUUUUUUAUUUUACUAUUAUGUAUGUAUGUAUGUAUGUAUGUAUGUAUGUAUGUAUGUAUUUAUUGAGACAAAGUCUCACUCUGUCACCCAGGCUGGAGCGCAGUGGUGCGAUCUCGGCUCACUGCAACCUCUGUGUCCCAGUUUCAAGAGAUUCUCCUGCCUCAGUCUCUGAGUAGCUGGGAUUAUAGGUGCAUGCCAAUUUUUAUUCUAUUUUUGGUGGUUUUCUGUGUUUUGCAAAUUUUCUUCAUAAAAAAAGAAAGAUUUUUAGAAAGCAUACUUUAAUCAUGUUGCUUCACAGGAAACCAGCUUUGAUUCUUUACUGCCUAAAAAGAUAAUGUCCAAAUAUCUUAAUUUAGUAGUGAAGGCCCUUCAGAGCAGAGGCCCAACCUACUUACUCAAAGUUUUCUCCUAGUUGGCACAAACCCUUUGUUGCAGUUAAAAGGAUCUGCUCAAGGUCUGCUAGAUGUGCUUGGUACCUUGCUGCAUCUGUACUUUUUUUUUAAUGCUAGGAUCCUUUUCAUGUCCCUUCUUUUCCUAUAAUUUCCAAAAUCCUUUAAGACAUGAUUUAAGUUCUAUCUCUUACCUGAAGACCAUGAGUGAGGGACGAGGUCUCCAAAAAUGAAUGACUCUGUUAUUCAUUCAGCAUUUACCACAGGAUCCUUAGCAUUAUUACGGUUCUUUUUCUAUGAGCCCAUAACUUAUCUCCCUAACUGGCACUUUUAAGCACUUAGAGGACUUGUUCUGUAACUUGGAGUUCUUGGUAUUCCCCUGACCUCCUAUGCAUAUUGAGUAUGCAAUAAACAUUUGUAGUAGUUUAGAUCCAGGGUUAUUUCAAAUAAAUAUAAUUUUUGAAAUUUGAAAUAAUUCUGGAUCUCUCUUUCUCUAUGCGUUCUAUGUGCAUUGAACUUGCUGAAGGAGUAACAGAUUUUCAGCAGUUAAUUUCCUAUAAGGGAAAAAUUUAAAUAAACUUAAUUAUAAACUAUUGCUUAAAUAUUUUUCCUGCACCAAAGGUCAUUGGUUAUUUUUGCUUCAGGGAACAUUCUCUUUUUACUGUCUCCUGAAAUACAACUGAAAUACAAUGUAGCUUUCCUUUUCUUCUUUAUUCCCUGAUCCCAAAUAUAAUCUCCACAUGUGCUCUAUCUUUGUAGGUGAAAUACUUCCUGCCUCAGUGAAAUCCAGCUCCCAGUGAAUUUCUUUGGUUUAGAGAGCAACUUGAGGAUUUUGCAUUUGGCACCAUUCAAUUUCCUUGGCAUCUCUCCAUAGUCACCAUUUAGAAGGCUCCUGGUCAGUAGGAUUUCUCUCCCUCUUACACUCUGUAGAGAUUAAAAAAGGAUUGUAUUACAGGGGCUUGGAAAUGUGAUGGAAAAUGAAAUUUGCUUUAGCAAAAAUGGAAGCUUUUGAAACUCAAGUUGUUCUAACAGGACCCUUAGACAAGAAUAGUUUUUAGGGGAGCAAAAUGGCAGAUACGGUUUAAGUUCCUUAUUUAGAUUGCCACUAAGAAAUACUAUGAUGUGUAAAAUCGCUCACUCAAAUAAAGUCAUUUGCAAAA